UAUAAAGUGAUUCGAGAAGGAAAAAAUUGAGUAAAAUAAAAUUUAUAUACAUAUAUAUAUAAUAAUUUUUAAAAUUCAAAUAAUUUCCUUGAAUUCUAUUAAUGCAACAUACGGAGAAGUAACAAGAGCUUUUAGCCGGAUUCAAAUUAAUCGAAUAGAUGUUUGCAGUUUAUUUAGUGUAGUCGAAGCAGAAACUUAAAUUCCAAUUACUUAUUAGUACUAACAACAAUAAACAGCGACAUCUGAAGUCACAAAUUGCAUCAACUCAGCAUCAGCCUCUCUCGCGCGUUCGUUCAAUAAGCAUUUCGGUAUUUAAAGAAACACAAAACUAGCCUUUCCCAAACGAGGCCAACCAAAAAAGGGAAAAAUUUUGAUUUGUUACUUACCUGUGUGGAACCAAGUUAUCAUAAAACAAACUCGUCACCAUGUCCAUGGCUGGGCAAACAAUCAACGACAGACUGUUGGCUGCCAGGCACAGUUUGUCCGGUCAAGGUCUGGCCAAAUCGGUAUGCAAGGCCACAACGGAGGAUUGGUCCCAAGAAGAAACAUUUAGAUUAUUGUUAUUAAGGAAAUCUAUCGACACAAUCGAAACUAUCUCAUGACCCAGAAGCAACAAAUAAAUUGGUGGACCAAUUAUUUUUAUUGUAUUUUGCGCCGUAAAAAAAUGUUGGGAAAGAACAAAAGCCCCUAAGUGAAUAGUGUCACAGCAAGAUACAUGUGAUAGAGCUAUCAAUGCAAGAGAAAAAUAAUUUAUAAAUUUAAUCGAUCAUCCAGCAAGUCAAACUCCAUCACCGCUCCAGUCAUCGUGGGAGGCGCAGAAAACUUGCACGCUCAAUCCGACGUGCCCAUGUAAAACCCUAUGCGUACGGUUAUUUCACAUUUAACUUUGGACAGACUCCCGAUAGACCUCUUUAUGUUUUCAGUACCCUAUAUUUGUAGAAAAGAGAAAGUUUUGAUAUAAGUGGUAAGGCAGGACAAUUGUGUACUUGUUUUAUAUUAAGUUACUUUUCAGAAUUCUAUAGGAAAGUGCCCGAGGCGCCUAGGAUGAGCUCAUUGUAGGCAGCUUUGGUGGGUUUUUUGAGAGAGGGUUAUUGCCCAAAUAACUACGGCUGGUGCCUCCACCUGUCGAUCCUAAGUAUUAUUCGUAUUAUUUUUAUUCUAGAAAUAAUUUCGCUGUCUUUGGAAUCCUCCACUUCUUUAUCCGAUUCAUAUUCUGAUUCAAAAGUAAUAUUUUCCUAAUUUUCUAUAAUUUUGCCUGGUUUUAAACAAUUUGAUAGCCAUAGUCGUAUAUUGUCUAUUCUACAACUAUCUUUGGAAUCCUAGAAUAUAUCUCCAAGCAAAGCUAUCAAGAAUUCACUUCCAAAAGUCUUCACUGCGUUCAAAUGUGCCAUGGGAUCAUUCUUCAAUUCACAAAGUACUAAUUCUUCUCUUUUUCUGUUAAUAUUGCUCACAUGACAAUCAAUAAAAUUUUAAAAAUUUUUAUUUGAACCAUCAUUUUACCCUGCUGAUUCCCAUUUGGAUCCCGAUUCCAAGGCACUAUGUAUCAUUGUACGUAUGCCUCGAAUAAGUGUUCCGAUGUCGCACAAUUGUCUUCCUUUUAAUUCAGUCAAUGGGUCUAUUUCUUCCAUUAAAUUUUCUUCCCUCACUUCAUUCUCGAAAUCUGUUAUUGUUCCGAUGUUGCACAAUUGUCUUCCUAUUCCUUCUAACUCAGUCAACGGGUCUAUUUCUUCUACUAAAUUUUCUUCCCUCACUUCAUUCUCGAAUUCUCUUAUCAAAUUAUAAGUCAUUCUUAGGCACCGCGAAUUAAUUUUUGUUUUCUAAACUCCUAAUCUCUGCAUAUAUUAAUUAAUCUCAGGUCAAAAAUAUGAAACAUUUCCUUCCUAAUAGCGGGGUGGUUUCAAAUAUUGCUCCUAUCUACAUGAUUAUCCUCCUAAUCUCCUUGGCUAACACACCAUUCUCUAUAAACAUUUUCCCUUUGUGGCUUAAAGAAUAUGACCUUUUUCGCAAACUGCUCAAGUAAAUUUCAGGUCCUAAUCCGCAUUGUCCUCUAAAUCUCCAUCAUAUUCAAAUUCCAAUUAAAUGUUGGAUUUUUUUUUUUUUUUUUGAAUGCUGUUAUCUCGGAAAUACCACGCAGUAUUUUUGCCAAUCGUAAGUUAUACUUUUUUUGUGUGUUUGCCCAACCAUCUCCGAAAACUCAGUUCUUACAAUAAAUAGCCGCGAUUUCUAAAAUUACGGGUUGCAUUGUAAUCCACUAAAUCAAAAUCAGUUUGCAAUUUGCCAGUAUUAUCCAUUCUUGUAGUGCGUUCACCAGUAUGGGGAAUUCUAAAUGUUCCUCCUACAUCAUUUCCACCGGUAUUGGCAACUUUAAAUGUGCCGUCUGCCUCAUAACCUUUCUCUGAAUUCCAACUAUAUUCCAAUUCCUCUAAGGUAUUAUCGUAUUGAUGCGCCUCAUCUCAUCUCUUACGGAAGCGUUAUAAAUACAGAAGCACUUCUAAAUCUACAGGAGCAUCCAUGUACCUUAUUUUCUUAAUUGUGUUCAAUUCUUUUUCUGGAUUAUUUUGUUCCCUUGUGUGUUCGAAUUCCUCUAAGGCAUUAUCGUAUUGAUGCGCCUCGUCCUAUCUCUUGCGGAAGCUUCUUAUAUCUAGAAGCACUUCUAAAUCUGCAAUCGAAUCCAUGUUCAUAUUUUUCGUAGUUGUGUGUAAUUCUUUUAGUUGUUUAUUUUGUUUCUUUUUAUAUUCCAAUUCCUCUAAGGAAUUAUCGUAUUGAUGCGUCCCGUCCCAACUCUUACGGAAGGUUUCUAAAUCCAGAAGGACUUCUAAAUCUACAGGAGAAUUCAUGUACAUCCUUCAUGCACUUUCUCCCCAGAUUCAUCAUUGCAUUUCACUUCCUCGUCUGUAGAUUGCCUUCUUCCCCAACUACCCCUAAUUUAAUCUCAGACCAAAAAUAUGAAACAUUUUCUUCCUAAUAGCGUGGUGGUUUCAAAUAUUGCUCCUAUCUACAUGAUUAUCCUCCUAACCUCCUUGGCUAACACACACCAUUCUCUUUAAACAUUUUCCCUUGGUGACUUAAGAAUAUGACUUUUUUCGCAAACUGCUCAAUUAAAUUUCAGGUCCUUUCAAUUCAAUUUCAGGUCUUUUCAAACUAAAAAAACAUUCCUUAUCCGCAUUGUCUUCUAAAUCUCCAUCAUAUUCAAAUUCCAAAUGUAUGUUGGAUUUUUUUUUUUUGAAUGCUGUUAUCUCGGAAAUGCCACGCAGUAUUUUUACCAAACGUAAGUUAUACUUUUUUGUGUGUUUGCCCAACCAUCUCCGAAAACUCAGUUCUUACAAUAAAUAGGCGCGAUUUCUAAAAUUACGGGGUGCAUUAUAAUCCACUAAAUCAAAGUCAGAUUGCAAUUUGCCAGUAUUAUCCAUUCUUGUAGUGCGUUCACCGGUAUGGGGAAUUCUAAAUGUUCUCCCUACAUCAUUACCACCGGUAUUGGGAACUUUAAAUGUGCCGCCUGCCUCAUUACCUUUCUCUGAAUUCCAAUUCCUCUAAGGCAUUAUCGUAUUAAUGCGUCUCGUCCCAUCUCUUACGGAAGCUUUCUAAAUCCAGAAGCACUUCUAAAUGUACAGGAGCAUCCAUGUACCUUAUUUUCUUAAUUGUGUUCAAUUCUUUUUCUGGAUUAUUUUGUUUCCUUCUGUAUUCGAAUUCCUCUAAGGCACUAUCAUAUUGAUGCGACUCAUCCUAUCUCUUGCGAAAGCUUCUUAAAUCCAGAAGCACUUCUAAAUCUACAGGCGAAUCCAUUUUCAUACUUUUCGUUCUUGUGUGUAAUUCGUUUAGUUGUUUAUUUUGUUUCUUUCUAUAUUCCAAUUCCUCUAAGCCAUUAUCGUUUGAUGCGUCUCGUCCCAUCUCUUACGGAAGAUUUCUAAAUCCAGAAGGACUUCAAAAUCUACGGGAGAAUUCAUGUAAUCCACUAAAUCAAAUUCAGACUGCAAUUUGCCAGUAUUAUCUAUUCUUUUAGUACGUUCAUCGGUAUAGGGAAUUCUUAAUGUUCCGCCGACAUCAUUACCACCGGUAUUGGGAAAUUUAAAUUUGCCGCCCGCCUGAUUACCUUAUUCUGAAUUCCAAUUCCUCUGAGGCUAUAUCGUAUUGAUGUGCCUCGUCCCAUCUCUUACGGAAGCUUUCUAAAUCCAGAAUCACUUCUAAACCUACAGGAGAAUCCAUGUACAAUAUUUUUGUUUCUUUUUAUAUUGCAAUUCCUCUAAGGCAUUAUCGUAUUGAUGCGUCUCGUCCCAUCUCUUACGGAAGCUUUCUAAAUCCAGAAGGACUUCUUAAUCUACAGGAGAAUAUAUGUACACUAUUUUCAUAAUUGUAUGCAAUUAUUUUUGUGUUUUAUUUUGUUUCUUUUUAUAUUCCAAUUCUUCUACGGCAUAAUCGUAUUGAUGCGUCUCGUCCCAUCUCUUACAGAAGCUUUCUAAAUCCAGAAGCACUUCUAAAUCUACAGGAGCAUCCAUGUACCUUAUUUUCUUAAUUGUGUUCAAUCCUUUUUCUGGAUUAUUUUGUUUCCUUCUGUAUUCGAAUUCCUCUAAGGCACUAUCAUAUUGAUGCGACUCAUCCUAUCUCUUGCCAAAGCUUCUUAAAUCCAGAAGCACUUCUAAAUCUACAGGCGAAUCCAUUUUCAUACUUUUCGUUCUUGUGUGUAAUUCUUUUAGUUGUUUAUUUUGUUUCUUUCUAUAUUCCAAUUCCUCUGAGGCAUUAUCGUUUGAUGCGUCUCGUCCCAUCUCUUACGGAAGAUUUCUAAAUCUAGAAGGACUUCAAAAUCUACGGGAGAAUUCAUGUAAUCCACUAAAUCAAAUUCAGACUGCAAUUUGCCAGUAUUAUCUAUUCUUUUAGUACGUUCAUCGGUAUAGGGAAUUCUUAAUGUUCCGCCGACAUCAUUACCACCGGUAUUGGGAAAUUUAAAUUUGCCGCCCGCCUGAUUACCUUAUUCUGAAUUCCAAGUCCUCUGAGGCUAUAUCGUAUUGAUGUGCCUCGUCCCAUCUCUUACGGAAGCUUUCUAAAUCCAGAAGCACUUCUAAACCUACAGGAGAAUCCAUGUACAAUAUUUUUGUUUCUUUUUAUAUUGCAAUUCCUCUAGGGCAUUAUCGUAUUGAUGCGUCUCGUCCCAUCUCUUACGGAAGCUUUCUAAAUCCAGAAGGACUUCUUUAUCUACAGGAGAAUCCAUGUACAUUAUUUUCAUAAUUGUGUGCAAUUAUUUUUGUGUUUUAUUUUGUUUCUUGUUAUAUACCAAUUCUUCUACGGCAUUAUCGUAUUGAUGCGUCUCGUCCCAUCUCUUACGGAAGCUUUCUAAAUCCAGAAGGACUUCUAAAUCUACAGGAUGUACAUGGAACAUUGUUUUCGUAAUUGCGUGCAAUUCUUUUUGUUGUUUAUAUUUCCUUUAGUUGCUUUUUGUCUACUUUACAUACACUCACAAAUUGACAAUAUUGUAAAAAUGCGUUACCUUGGAAACAUUUUUGAAUCACAUUCUAAGGUAAUUUCAUUGAGGAAAAAUAAAGCUACAUAUGUAUGUACGUACUUCUGGAAAAUCAAUAUACAUAUCUUACAAGAUUGUAAAUUAAUCUCCUUUUCGUUUCAUCGAUUUGCUGUGAUAACGCAACGGAACUUUGACUAUUCCACUACCAAAAGACAUUCAAUUAUGUCGUGUACAUUAAUGACAGUAUUCACAAGUCCAUUAGUUGCACAAAAUAUAAUUCAUUAAAAAUAGACUAAAGUUUUGUUUAUCUCUCUUUUUUUCACUUUGUUGGGUUCACCAGGCUAUUUUAAUUGAUUCGGUAAGCAACUUCGCUCGGAUUACCAUGUGUCUUUUUUUUCCUCCCACAAUCCACACGUCCUGCCAGCUCCAAUUUUCGAAUCCAAGAGAAAGGAAAAAGCCCAGGAAAUUAUCCAUUUCCCAAAAAUUUUCCGUCAUGGCCCUUUUUCCUUUCACUUUGCUGCUCAUUGUCCAUAUUUGUCCCCAAGCGACCAGUAAUGAACAAAGGCACCGUAACGCCCAGCUGUUUCUGCCAAUGGAAUAAACAUCGUGUCAAUCACAAUAAUACGGUUAAUGGUCCUACUCAAGUUUUGUUAUUGCGCACACAAUAAUUAUGAUCCAAUAGCUUUCCUUUAGCAUUUGCACAUUACCACAAGCAACAUGUAAAAAGGUACAAAGUUCGACAAGGACGAACCUCAUUUGUGGCCGAGUCAUUAUAUAGCGAUACAUGAUUCUUCGACCAAAUAUGUUCUGUUCUAUGUGUAACAUUUCAUUUGAAAUGAUGAUGAUAGUCUUGCAUUUUUUCAAUAAGAAUCAAAGAAAUCAUUACUUCCGAUUGGACUGCAUAAAAUAUGAAAAAAAUUUGUGUACCUUGUGGGUUUCCAACGGUGGGCAGAGUCCUAUAGAGUUUUCUAUCCUAUUGUGAAUGGUUUCGGUUCAGGCGAAUAAUCCAGUUUUCGCAUAUGUUGAGUUGUUGAACUGGGUAGAAAGAGGGAAAGUCUUCAAGGAAGAAGAAGGUCAAAGACCUUCCAUGACAGGACAUUUUUGAAAAAUGGCCAACUUCCUUACCGGUUCUCAGUUCAAAUGUGGUUUUCCGCGAUAAGGGCGUACCUUUAGGAGAAACUUUUAUAAUCGAAAUAUAACAGUUUGUCACGAUUCGACGUUCAAAGCACAAAGUGUCAAGGCGCGAAGUUUGGAAUGUUCUGUUUUUUAUCACUCGUGGGCUCAAUUGGCGACAUCGCUUCGUCCCACGUUUGUUACUGAACGGAAAAAAGUUAAUGGAACCUCUACACCAAUCGGUGGGAAUGAGCGCCAGAGCCUUCUUGAUCUGAGUACCGCGAAAGCUUCCUCAAGUGGUGAUUCCAUCGGGUGCUGAUGUCUCGAGGCGGUCAGGUUGUGACUUGUCAUAGACCCCUGCAGCGUCCCCCCUGUGCCCCAGAGAUACUAUGAUAUUAGGAUGUACAUCAUAGUAAGAGGGAAAGGCGACCGAGGAAUAUGAGCUGCCAGAACACAAUUAAAACGGAUGGAAUCGCAAUGUCAGGGAAGGAGACACAAGGUAAAUUCACCACGGUAAAUAAGCCGAAACCCUGUAUCCGGUGGCGUCGGAUAGGACACAUUUUUUGUUUUGCACAGACCCGGCUGGUGGUUUAUUUUCUUUUUUAUGUUUUCACAAUUAUACUUUAUUUUAUUUCUACAUUUGUCGGUGCUGCUGCGGUCGUCCUAUUGACGAAAUUAAGUUCAUUACUUUUUCUUUGGCCUUUGAUUAUCCAUUUCAUUCAUCACUAGUUGAUAUGCUCCAGCCAGGCCCUAGCUACGUUCGCGCAUGUCAGAAAUAUAGGGAGGUCCAGAUGCGACCAUAUAAGCUAUAGCGUGGUAUAUUUUAGCGUGUCUUACAUGUCUUCCCCAAUGAAAUGCAGGCCGUAGAGUUGAGUUUAGUGAAAUAAAUGUUUCCUAGAAGGUGGGCCAAUUGAGCCAAAUGUCAGUUCAUGCCUUAGGGAUGCCCGUGCAUGAAAGAUGGAUUAUGGCCCCUUUUACACUGCAAGACUGAUAUGAGGAAGAAAUCUUGGAUGUGGUCAGGUCGAUUUGGGCCAAGUACAAUGGAAGAAAGGAAAGAAACCAUGAUGGGGAAUUUAUAAGAACUGGCAAGUUUCCCUGCCUCUUUUAUCUGUAAAUUGGAGCUGGCUCGACGUGUAAGUCGCGCGAGGAAAAAUAUAUCGUGAUUCGGAGGCGUUUUAAAACGAGGAGCCUUUUGUCGCAAUCAAAACAAACUCAUGACCCAGAAGAAACAAAAUAAUUAGUGAAUAAUUUAUUUUUAUUUAAUUUUAUGCCAUCAAUAAAUGGUGUGAAAGAACAUAAGCCCCUGUGUGAAUAGUGUCACUGGUGAAGCAAGACACUAUAUUUAUAAAAAAGGAAAAGUUUUGAUAUAAGUGGUUAGGCAGGACAAUUGUGCAUUUCUUUUAUAUUAAGUUACCUUUCAGAUUUCUUUAGGAAAGGUGCCCGAGGCGCCUAGGAUGAGCUCAUUGUAGGUAGCUUUGGUGGGUUUUUGAAAUAGGGGUUUUACCCAAAUUACGUAAGCAAUUUUUGUGCUGCCUCAGGGAAACCAGUUAAACCUUUUUCUAGUACGUUUUGCUCUUUUUGAUUAAAUAAUAUUUCAUUUUAUAUUGUCUUUGGUGUAUGAAUAUUAUUUGAAUUUCCUUUUUAUUGGCUUGCGUCAAUUUCUGCUGCAUUAAUAGUUAAUAUUAAAGUCUUUAUAACGUUUUUGAGAAAA